GAUGAAGAACGUAGCGAAAUGCGAUAAGUAGUGUGAAUUGCAGAAUUCAGUGAAUCAUCGAAUCUUUGAACGCACAUUGCGCCCCUUGGUAUUCCAUGGGGCAUGCCUGUUCGAGCGUCAUUUGUACCCUCAAGCUUUGCUUGGUGUUGGGUGUUUGUCCCGCGUUGCGUGUGGACUCGCCUUAAAGCGAUUGGCAGCCGGCAUAUUGGCCUUGGAGCGCAGCACAUUUUGCGCUUCUAGUCAUGAAUGUUGGCGUCCAUUAAGCCUAUACAUUUGCUCUUGACCUCGGAUCAGGUAGGGAUACCCGCUGAACUUAAGCAUAUCAAUAAGCGGAGGA
rnacentral:misc_RNA from 1 species